rnacentral:lncRNA from 1 species
AAAAAAGUUGAAACCGAAAAUGAAAAUCGGAGUCUUUGAAGUGAUUUAGAUUUUAGAUUGGAUUCUUAAUGGAUUAAUUCAACGUUGUGGAUAAUAAAUUUUUGAAUCCUUGAUUGAUUUGGAACUUUUAUCGAAUUGGUACUAAAACUCCUACAAGUAUCUAAUUGUUUUACAACAAAGAGGAGGAGGAGGAGGAUCAUAAAACAGAAGGAAAAAUUCACCAAUUCGACCUAUGCUACCACCCAUCAUUGAUCUAGUCGCCAAAACAACCACAAGCUCAGCCAAAUAGACACCACUUGAAGCCAUGGACCCUGCACACAGAAACCAAAUCCAGUCCUCAAGAAACAACAAAUCGGCAAACAAUUUCAUAGAGAAACACUUACAACCAUUAGCCUAAACCACCCACCACCAAAAUCAAUCAACUAAGCAACACCCAAAAUCCAUAAUACCCGAAACCAGUAGACAAUUAAAAUACAAAAAUCAUAAUCAACCCAUAAAAUCAAUCAACUAAAUAAUACCCAAAACCCAAACCAGUAGACAAUUAAAAUAUAAAAAUCAUAAUCAACUCAUAAAAUCAAUCAAACUAAGCAAUACCUAAAACCCAUAAUACCCGAAACCCAGUAGACAAUUAAAAUACAAAAAUCAUAAUCAAAUCGUGAUUAACCCGAGGUUCAACGAAGCAAUACCCGAAACACAAUCAAGAUACAAAAAUCAUAAUCAACAUACAAAAAUCAUAAUCAACCCACAGAGAGGUCUUUCAGAGUACACAAGCAGAAAGCAAUACCAAAAAAGAAAAAAAAUCAACCCACAGAGAGGUCUUUCACAAUAACAGAGUAUACAAAAAAAAAAAAAAAGAACUCUGGCAGUAGCUUUAAGUUCUCAGUUCUGGCAGUAGACUUAAGGUCUCAGUCCUGGGUUUGGAGGGACUUUUUUUUCUGAGCUUUCGUAUAAGGCGAGAACAGUUAGCUCAGAGUCAACAGGCGAGGAACGAUUAACGAUUUACAAUGGAUUUUUUGGUACAAUAAAGCAGUGAUAAAAUGCAGUGGUGGUCAUGAUUUAAGUCGGUGGAGGUGGAGAGCGACGGCAGCGAUCGGCGACAUAGGACGAACGGCACGGCAUAAGGCUGACAGAAUUUGGAUCCUAUGCAUUUCCCGGUGUCGGCGCUUAAACGUGUAAAGAGAGGUUAGAGAAUUCUAGCCUUUAGAAAGAAAAAAGAAUAAUGCAAAAAUAAAAGAUAAUAUGUGGGUUUCAUAUUCAACGAAUGUGCAUUGGAAAAGAAAAGUAAAGAAGAGUCUUGAAUGUGCAUUGUAGAAGAAGUGUACAAAGGAGUUCUGGACCAAACUUGAACUAAAACCCGAAUGCGUGUUCUAAACCCGGGCCGAAUUGGAGCACAUUUGGAAAUAAAGACCAAGCCUAGUGCCAAACCUGGAUCUAUUUUGGACCGAGCAUUAAACCAAACUUUUGGCACUUGUCUUUCC